UACGUAGGGUGCAGGCGUUAGUCGGAAUUACUGGGCGUAAAGCGUGCGCAGGCGGCUCCUUAAGUCAGAUGUGAAAUCCCCGGGCUUAACCUGGGAACUGCGUUUGAAACUGGGGAGCUCGAGUGUGGAAGAGGGGGGUGGAAUUCCAGGUGUAGCAGUGAAAUGCGUAGAGAUCUGGAGGAACACCGAUGGCGAAGGCAGCCCCCUGGGCUAACACUGACGCUCAUGCACGAAAGCGUGGGGAGCAAACAGG
rnacentral:rRNA from 1 species